UACGAAGGGGACUAGCGUUGUUCGGAAUCACUGGGCGUAAAGCGCACGUAGGCGGAUAUGUCAGUCAGGGGGUGAAGUCCCGGGGCUUUAACCUCGGAACUGCCUUUGAUACAGCAUAUCUUGAGUCCGAUAGAGGUGGGUGGAAUUCCUAGUGUAGAGGUGAAAUUCGUAGAUAUUAGGAAGAACACCGGUGGCGAAGGCGGCCCACUGGAUCGGUACUGACGCUGAGGUGCGAAAGCGUGGGGAGCAAACAGG
rnacentral:rRNA from 1 species